CCCCAACUAACCUGGUCUCAGCAGCUUUAUAAGUUCUUGAUUCAGGGGAAAAAGUGUAUCUUAUAAAUAACAAUAAUAGAUUUAUUUAUAUAGCGCUUUUCAUUACAAGUAGUAUCUCAGUAGCCGUUAUACCUUGGCUAGCAGAAAGGGUUGGAAGCAAUUUUUCAACGAAUCUUUUCUUGCUGAUACUUUAUGAAUGUCUGUGUUCAGUUACAGAUGGGUCCCCCCAAAUUUGGGGGGGGGGGGAUAUUCAGAAUGUUUUGUAUCUAGUGAGAACUGAGAAAUGCCUCUUGCUUGUGUGUAGAUCUUUGUUUUGGUUGUACUGUGUGAUGCACCGUCUACUUCUACAUGUAGCCGAGGCAGAGUCGCAUAGAAACCACUAGUUCCUGCAAAGAUGUUGGGAAAUGCAAGAUGUCUAGCAGCUAAAAUGGCAAGGCAACUCUUACUCGGAGCAAAACAAGGAUUUUAUUAUCUUUCUGAAUAUUCUCUGGUGUUUGGAGAACCACCUGCAACUGAACACCGACAUUUUAUAAGUCACACUUUUCUUCAGAAUCAGGAACUAAGAAAGUAUUGCCAAGACAAGGUUAGCUGUUUGGAAGGAUUCACAUAUCACCACCGUAACGAUGUGUAGCUUCCAGUCGACACAGCCUUAUGGAGGGCCCAGAAACAUGGGUUCGAACCCUAAUCGGUAACAUUGGUGCUGUGACCCAGGUGGGUCUCUUCGAGGAGGAGAAGGUAAAAGGGGAGGGGGGUGACGUGUAACUUCUUUUGAUGGUUAACUUUGUUUGUUCCUCAGCGUUGCGUGGACAGGUUGAGAAACAGCAGAUCUAGGCUACUGGAGAAGUACCGCCAAAUGGGAGAGAGUCAGCACUGUGACGCCAAAGGCCAGGAGAUGUAGUGUCAUGAAGGAGUAUGAUGAACUGGCAGUGUUUGAAGAGAUCCAACAGGAGCUCAUGUCUCAAGCGCUCUACAUCAUUGAUGAAAUUGGGAAAAGUAUGCAGUUUGAAGAGUUGUAUGUGAAUUCAGUUGUGGAAGAGAUGGUCGGGGAAAGGGAAAUCAUAUAUCAUGUG